UAUUCUAAUGGGAAGAGCAACGAGGGUGAAAUCACAAUUGAAGUCCCACAAGAGAUUUGCAAAUGGAUUUCUCAGAUACUAUCAAUUAGUUGAUAGUGCCAAGCUAUAUUGCACCAAUUCUAUGGAGGCCCACCUAAGUUGAUAGGAUGGAAAGAUGGAGAGAACAGUUUGUUGGUUGAUCCAAAAGAAGUAGACUAUUU